AUACCCCCUACUCUUUGUGGGGUGGAAGGGACACAUAGAUUAGAUUGAUGGGGUUAUUCUCCCUACCGUUUUAUGUAAAUUUGCCAAAGAAAUAAGAUACCUGUUCUUACAAGAGUCAGGCAAGUCUAAAUAUUUCUUACAGACAGAGCUGACAAAAUUCAAAAGUAGUUUGGUUACAAGAGACUCACUAAUUUCAAAUGGGUAUUUGAUUCCCAAAGGGAAGACAAACUUCAUCAGUUGGAGCAUUGUGAUGUCACAGAGGAACUUCAUUAGUGCACCACUUAGAAGGGAGCCAUGAGAGUAAGUAAAAUGAUAUGUAAAUAAAUGCCUAAUUAGGUGUCCGUGAAAAACUGAAGAGUCUCCAAAGUUGUUAGAGAUGACUGUACUUGGAAGGCAGCUUCUUAGACUAAGAAUUAGUGCUUUCAUAACCUUCACAGAGGAGGCUGGAAGAUUCCGCAGAGGUCUCCAGAAGACUGGUUAACUUGGAUGAAGCCAUUGAAGACAAUCAGGUAUGACAUCAUUCCCAUGGUUGAGGUCCUCUGGAACAGAAGUUCUAGAACUUCUUAGGGCCAUUCUAGUAGAAUAGAAUACUCAGAAAUCACCCCCACUUCUGCUGAGGGUGGGGUGGGAAGAGGCACAAGGAGAGGAAACUUUAUCACAAGGAAUGAGUAAAAUGGAACUGAUUUUGAUAAAGGCAUUGAAGAUAUAAUAGGGGAAAAUAUUCCAUGAGGACGCUUUGAUUUUUCUUUACAACACACCACUAAAUUACGUGAGUAGCCUUUCCAUCGUGGUGGAGAGGAAAUAUAAUUUCAAACUAAAGUUGAGCCCAGUUUCUGUUAAAUUAAAUAGCAAAGAAAAAAAUAGUUCUUGGCUUUAUUCUUCUUAGAUGGGGAGCAGGGCAGUAGGGAAUUGACACAAGUCGGUCCUUGGUGAUUAACCUGCAGUUUAUGGUUGUGUUUCCCGGUGACGUGCCCAUCACGCAGGAAGCUUCUCGGAGGCUGUGGAGAGCAGCCUGUCUGCUUUGAGAAGUGCAGAUCUAUCAGGAUCCAGAAUCGGGCUCUGAAAAAGCUGUCAUUUCAUGUCUCUAAAACAGCCUCUGAUUUAAUGUACAAGAUGUCAAGAAGUAAAGGACAAUAAAAUAAAAGCCAAAAAGGAGAACUAUUUCAAUUAAGAAGCAUUUCUAUACCAAUUCUUGGAAAUCACGUAAAAUAAAAACUGUCAGAAUCAA